rnacentral:rRNA from 1 species
AAUACAUCGGAACGUGCCUAGUAGUGGGGGAUAACUACUCGAAAGAGUGGCUAAUACCGCAUGAGAUCUACGGAUGAAAGCAGGGGAUCGCAAGACCUUGUGCUACUAGAGCGGCCGAUGGCAGAUUAGGUAGUUGGUGGGAUAAAAGCUUACCAAGCCGACGAUCUGUAGCUGGUCUGAGAGGACGAUCAGCCACACUGGGACUGAGACACGGCCCAGACUCCUACGGGAGGCAGCAGUGGGGAAUUUUGGACAAUGGGCGCAAGCCUGAUCCAGCAAUGCCGCGUGCAGGAUGAAGGCCUUCGGGUUGUAAACUGCUUUUGUACGGAACGAAAAGCCCUGGGUUAAUACCCUGGGGUCAUGACGGUACCGUAAGAAUAAGCACCGGCUAACUACGUGCCAGCAGCCGCGGUAAUACGUAGGGUGCAAGCGUUAAUCGGAAUUACUGGGCGUAAAAGCGUGCGCAGGCGGUUUUGUAAGACAGAGGUGAAAUCCCCGG